rnacentral:rRNA from 1 species
UGGGGAAUAUUGCACAAUGGGCGCAAGCCUGAUGCAGCAACGCCGCGUGAGGGAUGACGGCCUUCGGGUUGUAAACCUCUUUUAGUAGGGAAGAAGCGAAAGUGACGGUACCUGCAGAAAAAGCACCGGCUAACUACGUGCCAGCAGCCGCGGUAAUACGUAGGGUGCGAGCGUUGUCCGGAAUUAUUGGGCGUAAAGAGCUCGUAGGCGGUCUGUCGCGUCUGCUGUGAAAACCCGAGGCUCAACCUCGGGCCUGCAGUGGGUACGGGCAGACUAGAGUGCGGUAGGGGAGAAUGGAAUUCCUGGUGUAGCGGUGGAAUGCGCAGAUAUCAGGAGGAACACCGAUGGCGAAGGCAGUUCUCUGGGCCGUAACUGACGCUGAGGAGCGAAAGCGUGGGGAGCGAACAGGAUUAGAUACCCUGGUAGUCCACGCCGUAAACGUUGGGCGCUAGAUGUGGGGACCAUUCCACGGUUUCCGUGUCGCAGCUAACGCAUUAAGCG